rnacentral:rRNA from 1 species
GUGCAGCAGGCGCGAAUCUUCCACAAUGGGGGAAACCCUGAUGGAGCGACGCCGCGUGCGGGAUGAAGGCCCUAUGGGUUGUAAACCGCUGUUCAGUGGAAAGAACAUCCUCCGGCUGAAUAGGUCGGAGGCCUGACGUUACCACUGCAGAAAGUCCCGGCCAACUCCGUGCCAGCAGCCGCGGUAAUACGGGGGGGACGAGCGUUGUCCGGAAUCAUUGGGCGUAAAGGGCGCGUAGGCGGCGAGGAAAGUCGAAUGUGAAAUCUUGCGGCUCAACUGCAAAACUGCGUUCGAAAACUUCCUCGCUUGAGUAUGAGAGAGGUGUGCGGAAUUCCUGGUGUAGCGGUGGAAUGCGUAGAUAUCAGGAGGAACACCGGUGGCGAAGGCGGCACACUGGCUCAAUACUGACGCUGAGGCGCGAAAGCGUGGGGAGCAAACGGGAUUAGAUACCCGUGUAGUCCCUGAAACUGCCAAGGCACACA